AGCGAGCGGGGCCGGGCUGGGCGCCUCGGCCGGCAGCGCGGGGGGUGGGGGGGUGUCGCGGGCGUCUCUCGGAGCCCCCGGCGCGGCCGGGCAGCGCUCCCCGAGGCCGCAGGCGGCCGGAAUCGCGGGCAGGCCGCCCGGGGUGGCGGGGCGCGGGGUGCCGCACGGCGGAGCCAGGGUCCCGCAAAUGGCGGCAGGAAGGGUCUGCCUCUGCGUCCUGCCUCCGAGCAGCCGUAAAUGACUUGGAGAUAGCCUGCAAAGAAAAAAAUGUUUCUUUCUUGAGGGUGUGUACACACACAGAACGCCUGGAAAAGGCGGGUAAGGAGAGGGGGUUUUGGUUUUGCCUAGGUUUAUGUUUUAUGAGAGGAAUGCAGGCUUUGUGAGAAGCUGUGACCCAUGGAAAAAUGGGCAAAUUGUCGAAAGUGACUAUCGCCACGUAAAUGUUUAGAAACGCUGAAUAAUUCCAGUCUUCUUAAGGUCUGAAAACAAAAUGUGUCUCUUCCCAAAGUAUGACUGUCACGAUAAUUGCUCCGUGGCAAGCAAUCUCUUUCAGCCACUUGUGUUGACCAAGGGAUGUGAAUACCAUCAACAGACUUUGUUGGGGCUGCUCGAGGUGCAGAAUUGCCAGGCAGAUGAAGGGUCAACAUGGGCAGGUUCUGUGCUCGCUGGCAUCCUGAAGGCAAGGUAUGUGUUGAGGCAAAAGCAGAAGGGGCAGAAGAGUGCUGGGCUCUGACUCCUGCAAACUUACUGUCCUUCGGGGAAUGUUGCUGAUUAAAAUGAGCCUCUCUAUUCCUUAGACUUCUCUAAUCUAUCCCAGAAACCUCUCCAUUCAUUCUUUGAUUAAUUGCAUCCUCCAAAGGCUUUCUCCUCUAAUUCAUGUCAUCUUUAUAUGUUUGGACUUGAGCUUCAUCAGGCUGGUUUUCAUCUUCCUCUCAGUAUGUUCUCAAUAUUAGAUGUGUCAGAGGGCAGUUGUAAUUCCCAGAUUGAAUGAAAAGAUAAAGUAGCAUUGAUAUUAAUAACACUGCAAUCCGUAUACUGCAUUGUGAUCAUUCCCACAGCCUCUGUACAGAUGUUGGAUAGAAAAGGUGAUCAGCACCGAGUGCUGUUGCAAAUUGCAUCUGGGAGCCCUUAACAGAAGGAAAAGCCAUCUGCUACCAUCUGGGAACACUUAGUGAGGAAUCAGUGGAACCACGCUAAGGCAUUUCUCUUUCUGAGCCAGGUCAUGCAGCUGUGUCAGGGAUUUCACAUGCUCCACAAUGUCAAAGGCCACCAAAGCUUUGAGUCAUCUGUAAGUCACCAGGCAUCUGGCCAUGGUCACUGGCUGAGAUAUUUUUAUUAUUACACUUAGCAUAGGUGAGGUGCAGUACUGUAGGAGAAGUGAUCUCAGUGAGGCAGUUGCUAGCCAAGUGAGUACAGUCUAAAAGAGAUUUCUUUAGCAGGCAUCAGAGCAAAGUGUGUUUUGUUGGUGUGUGUCCCCCGCAAGAGCUGUUGGCAGCUUCCUCUCAGGAAGAAGCAGUGAUUCAUUCUUCCAGGAGCAGACUUACGCAGUCCCUGCAGUUUUUUUUCCCAGCCAAGCUGGAAUAGUCUAGAUUCUAGAUUAGUAAUUCAUAUUACAGUAGUUGCUCGGAAGUCCCUAUGCGCAAGGUGCUUUAGAGGUACAAAGAAAGAGGCGAUCCCUGUGCUAAUUUGAAGAUGUGAGCUGAACAAGAGAGAAAUUAAGAAACUUUCUCAGUGUCAGUAGGAGAUUCUGGAAAAUAUGUGAGCUGAAUUAAUAUCUCCCAAGCACUGCAGUAGCAUAAUUACUAUACAUAUUAAUUUAUAGUCAUUGACAGAUUGUAAAAAACAUGUAUAGCGUGACUUCUGUCAAGAAUUUACUGAGUGAUUUUAUGUUCGAAUUAAUAAGUUAUACACUAAAUUGAUAGAUAAUCUCUUUCAAAGUCAGGCUUACUUUAUAAAGUCCUCUAAAAUCUGUUUUCAAGCAGUAAAAUUGCCUUUGUGAUCCUCUAAUGCUUUGUGAUCAUGUAAUUUAAAAAUAUUCCUAUCCCCAAAACUAUCACCUAGACACUUCCAAUAGUUUACAUAGUAAAUACUUGUAAAGCAGUACAUUGAAAAUAGGCACUAUAACUGAAUUGUCUGUUAAAUGUUUUAAUUCAGGUAUUUAUUUUUCUGCACAUACAGCUUUGGCUACCCAGUAAAAUUAUCAUUAGAUAAACAUGUGUUGGGGGUGCUAAAAACUUGAAGCCAUUGGCUUCAAGUACAGGUCUCUCCUCCACCAAAUACAUCAUACUUGCUGGAGUAUGACACUCCAGCCUAACUGACCUCAAAGAAAGAGAUGUGGAUCUUGUAUGUCCAGCCAGUUAUAAAAUCUUCAUUUUCACCUCUUCUUGCCUCCCUGACUAAAGAAGCUAUCACUCAUAAAUACAUAGAAAUGCAUAUAUCAUUCUAAGUCUUGUACUCUGAUGGAAGACACAAUAAGAAAAUUUAUUUCAUAAUCAUUCUAGCCUGUCAAAUACCAUCCACAAAAGAAUAAACUGUAAAAUAAAGAUUAUUUAUAAUUGUUGCUGAUUGUGUAAGAUGGGCAAAUAUGUACACAUUCAGACUAGGAUUUUUUGCUUUUUGUUUAAUUUUCUUGCUCUUUUUUUUCACCUCUAAAUCUGUAUUUGACACUGUGAAGAAAAUGGACGCUUAAACACAUUAUUCCACCAGAAGGUGAGUGCUUUGGCUCAGUGCAGAACUGCCUUGUCUAAGGACAUUAAAAGCCAUUUUGGUUUGUAUGGGAGUAAUCAUAUGUUUGUGGGGUUUUCAAUGGACUGAAUUGUAGCUUCAGAAUAUGGUCCAGUAGAGUACUCAUGGGAUCCACCUGACAAGCAACUGAAACACAUACUCUCACCAGCUUUUCAGAACAGCUAUCAAGAAGCUUCCAAUAUGCAGUUUUUUGGCAACAGACUUGGUAAGGAUGCUUUCACUGCUUGCUGUGAAAUAGAGCAGCCACUCAGCCUUUCCUGUGCCGUGUGACACACAGGGUGCAUCAUGUGCUAUUCCCAUGUGACCUGGCACGUCAAGCAUGUCACCUUCAUGAGAGAGACAUGAGACAGGAGGGAGAGAAAUAAAUCUGUUUUCUCAUCAUCAGGCUUAUUGUUCCCCAUCUGCACCAAGUCUUUUUCUGCGUAAAGCUAAAUAAAGAGGUCUCAGAUUAAACCCCUACUGAGCACUUACUGACUCUGAGCCGAUUCCUGUAAGCUGAAUUAAAAUGCAAUGUUAAACAAUGAAAGAACCAUAUGUUCUUGUCUCAGGAUGUUUUAAAAAGAAAAUUGUCUACACAGAGCUGACAUAAUAUGACAGAAAUUGAAAGAAAAGUCAUGCAUUUACUCAUCACUAACUUUCAGAUACGCCGAUCCCUAAAGAAAUGGUUUAGCUAAGAACCAAGCAAAAAUAAGCAGACUUUUUAGCUAUAUAUUUUAGCUCUGCUUAGAACAUGUUUUAGAGGCAAAUAACCAGAGUAGCAUUUAGGACCUCAGGACACAGGGAGGCAUGGCUGAGAGUGCCUAUGACUUCUGGUAACAGUACAAGCCAUGGCUUGUGAGAAGGAGAGGCCCAAAGUGUUAGCUAGGUCCUGGCCGCUGUUGCCACAGUGCUGAUGUGGGAUGUCAGUUUUGUUGCUAAAUUCGUGCCCUCACUUUUGAUAGAAAUGUAUGUUCUGUAUAUUACUGCAAUUUCAUGUAAGUAUAUAAUGCUGUUUAUCAUCGUUAUCACCAAAAGAUGCUAAAAAUAUCAAUUAUGAUGACUGUACUCUUUAUUAUGUAGAAAGCCUUUUUGAUCUGCAUCUAAUGUGCAUAGGAUGGAGUCCAAGGUGAACUACAUCAGCGUGGAUUUAAAGACCAGAGUGCAACCAGCAAAUAGCAAGUCCCCCAACAGGUUUCGCCAUUGAAAAUCUGGGACAUGAGGAUUUCCAGCUCGCCUUUGGAUGGAGUCCUGGGCAGGAGGCUUAGAAAUACAAUCUACCAAUGCUAACAACUCUGUUGUAGAAAGGAACCAAACCAGGUUCUAAACAAGUGUUUGAACAUUCACAGGUAUGUAAAUCUUCAGGCUCUUGUGGAGGAAAAAGUCACGUACCUUUGCUUUAGGAAAUUUAACAGGAUACACAAGUAAGUGUAGCGACUUUAGAGGAUUGUAAAUACUUAUUACCUUCACACAAUCCAAUUCUCACCGUAUUGCUCGAUAUUUAUACUGUGAUGAUUAAAAGAAGACAUCCCUUAUCUGGCCUUUCUCUCUAUUUUUAACACCAAAGACUGUUGAAAAUUAAAUGUUUCAUUACAUACAUCAAUACUUCCCAGUAAUCUUGAAACAAUUAUCUUAAAUUAGUAUUUCCCUUUACACUGUCUUUUGUUUUCAACUGAUGGUAUCUUCUAUGUAAAAAGAGUGAAACUGCUUAUCUGUAUUAAGGCAGCACCUUUGUGGCACUGUUCAGGGGCUGGGAAAAGUUGCUGCAGCAACAGCGCAAGUUAUGUAAUGCUCCGUUCAAUGAAGGAUGAGUAAGCUGGUUUGCAGGGGGCUGCAAAUCCAAGCUCUCUCUUCCUGUCACUUUCUAUCCCUGCUUGCAAAGUGGAAUACAUUUUAUAAUAGGUUUUAAAAUUCUCUGUGGAGAGUAAUUUAGACUUAUUGUGCUAAAUAAUAACAAUAUGGAGAGAGAAUAAUUCUAGACAUUUCUUGAUAUCACAUUUUACUCGGCAUGGUUGAAGUGGCAUUAAAAAUCGGAUUUUAUUUAUUUUGCAGAAUCUAAAGUGUGGCUGAUGCAUUGCAAAGUGUAGCAAGACUUACCUGUGUUCAUCUAACUUAAACAGCAUGCGUCACCACACUAAGCAAGAAAUCAGCUUCUCCAGCCACUGAAAGGCUGGCUCUAAAGCAACCAGCAUGUCCUCCACCUCUUCUGCCACUACUGGAUGUUGAGUUUGCAGUCAGCUUUUGUAAUGGUGCAUUACAACUAUUGUAGCGAUCGCCAUUCUCCAUGUCUCCUCUCCAGGUUUCCUGAAAAGAGCAGGAAGCUAUCGUGAUUCUGCCUUUUUUUUUUUUUUUCCCCCUGCACUAGACUAUGUAGCUACCUAGCUGGUUAAAACGGAGCAUUUGAAGUUGUGUUCUCUUGGUGGGUGCAUGGUGGUGUUAUCCUGCUGCUGGGGAAAAGCACACAACCAACCCUUUCCCCCAAAUUAAACAAACAAACAUAAAACUCCAAAUGACCCCCAAAUAGCGUAGCAUUAUCUAAUUAUUUUGUGAAUUAAAUAGAUCAAUUCAAGAGAAAUGAGUGAAAACAGGCACCAUCCCAGCAGAGCUACCUUCCUGCAAAGAUGUUCUCGCUUGCCUGGUCAAAGGCUGAAGUCAAAGUUCAGAUUCUCGAAGGGAACUGCAGUAGUUCUGCAAUUUUAUGCCAGGGGUCUCUCCGUUGCAGAGACCAGGACUAGGAAGAAAAAAUCGGAUUAAAACUUUGCCGGACUGGUGACUGGAAUUUGCGUGUGGAGCAAAACAAGGGACGUGAGCUUCCCAAAAAAAACCAUGGAAUUUUGUCGGGCCGUGGCCUCGUCGAGCGUGAGGGAGGAGGAGAGGCCGGCGCGGCUGCGGCCCCGGUGCUUCGCUGUCGGCCCAAACGGGGGAGCGGGCCCGCCUGCCACAGGCGGUGGCUUUGCUCGCGCUUGCUUCAGCGCGCGAAAACGUUGCUGUAAAUCACAGAUAGGUGACUUACGCGUGUGUGUGCACAGGGGAUGCGUGUGUGCGUCUGUACGCGUACGUGUAUGCACGCAUAUAGCUAGAGAGAGACAGAAAAGUGCACUGUAAAAUAUACAGACGUUACAAAUA